rnacentral:rRNA from 1 species
UACGUAGGCAGCAAGCGUUGUUCGGAGUUACUGGGCGUAAAGGGUGUGUAGGCGGUUGGAUAAGUGUGGUGUGAAAUCUCCCGGCUCAACUGGGAGGGUCGUGGCAAACCGGCGGGCUUGAGGCCGGUAGAGGUGGGUGGAACUCCUGGUGGAGUGGUGAAAUGCGUAGAGAUCAGGAAGAACACCCGUGGCGAAGGCGGCCCACUGGGCCGGUACUGACGCUGAGGCGCGAAGGCGUGGGGAGCGAACGGG